rnacentral:rRNA from 1 species
AAUCAACGCUGGCGGCGUGCCUCAGACAUGCAAGUCGAACGAUUAAAGCUCUCUUCGGAGAGUGUAUAGAGUGGCGCACGGGUGAGUAACACGUAAGUAAUCUACCUUCGAGUGGGGAAUAACGUCCGGAACGGACGCUAAUACCGCAUAAUGCAGCGGCAUCGCAAGAUGACAGUUGUUAAAGAUUUAUCGCUUGAAGAGGAGCUUGCGGCAGAUAGCUAGUUGGUAAGGUAAUGGCUUACCAAGGCUACGAUCUGUAACCGGUCUAAGAGGACGGUCGGUCACACUGACACUGAAUAACGGGUCAGACUCCUACGGGAGGCAGCAGUCGGGAAUUUUGGGCAAUGGGCGAAAGCCUGACCCAGCAACGCCGCGUGAAGGAUGAAGUAUUUCGGUAU